CCUACGGGAGGCAGCAGUGAGGAAUAUUGGUCAAUGGUCGGAAGUCUGAACCAGCCAUGCCGCGUGCAGGAAGACGGCUCUAUGAGUUGUAAACUGCUUUUGUACAAGGGUAAACCUGAAUACGUGUAUUCAGCUGAAUGUACUGUACGAAUAAGGACUGGCUAACCCCGUCCCAGCACCCGGGGUAAUACGGAGGGUCCAAGGUUUUCCCGGAUUUAUUGGGUUUAAAGGGGGCGUAGGCGGAUUGAUAAGUUAGAGGUGAAAUGUCCGGGCUUAACUCGGGAACUGCCUCUAAUACUGUUGAUCUAGAGAGUAGAUGCGGUAGGCGGAAUGUAUGGUGUAGCGGUGAAAUGCUUAGAGAUCAUACAGAACACCGAUUGCGAAGGCAGCUUACCAAUCUAUAUCUGACGUUGAGGCACGAAAGCGUGGGGAGCAAACAGGAUUAGAUACCCCUGUAGUC
rnacentral:rRNA from 1 species